rnacentral:misc_RNA from 1 species
AUUCAGGUUCUGGUGACGACAAUGGUAAAUCAAAUGAGCCGCAGAAUGGCAAGUCAAGUGCUAUAGAAGGAAGUGAUGCUGCUGUGGUGGAUACGGUUGUCAAUGCCAGUUCGGGUUCUGGAUGUCGAUCNUGUCGAUCAAUCGAGCAACAUGAUCGUGAGUCAAGAAAUGAAUCGAAAGUGAACUGUGCUGCUUAUAGUGGUCAUACUAUUACUCCGGGGCCAGAAACUAAUCCCAAUGAGCAACACAUGCCCAAUGCAGAACCUGUCCAAAGCUAAUUGAAACAUAUUUUUUUUUGGGAGAUGGGAAAGCACAUCCAGCUAUGUAAAUUAUUAUAAUAGAUCAAAUAUAUCUUUACAGAUGUGUAGGGUCUCAGAGAUCUAAUGUAUAACAAACUUU